GGCCGCGGGAAUUCGAUUCAGGCCUAACACAUGCAAGUCGAGCGGGGAAAGGUAGCUUGCUACUUUACCUAGCGGCGGACGGGUGAGUAAUGCUUAGGAAUCUGCCUAUUAGUGGGGGACAACAUCUCGAAAGGGAUGCUAAUACCGCAUACGUCCUACGGGAGAAAGCAGGGGACCUUCGGGCCUUGCGCUAAUAGAUGAGCCUAAGUCGGAUUAGCUAGUUGGUGGGGUAAAGGCCUACCAAGGCGACGAUCUGUAGCGGGUCUGAGAGGAUGAUCCGCCACACUGGGACUGAGACACGGCCCAGACUCCUACGGGAGGCAGCAGUGGGGAAUAUUGGACAAUGGGGGGAACCCUGAUCCAGCCAGGCCGCGUGUGUGAAGAAGGCCUUUUGGUUGUAAAUCAAGGAAGCGAGGAGGAGGCUACCGAGAUUAAUACUCUUGGAUAGUGGACGUACUCGCAGA
rnacentral:rRNA from 1 species